CAGACAUUGGGAAAAAUAAUACAGGAGGGCUAAUAAUUCUGACAUCAACUGUAUCUAAAAUCCCUUCCAUACAUUUAAUGUCAUACAGACCCUCACAAUGAGACAAAAAAUAAUGCUAAUAAUUGUGUGACCUGCACACUUUGUGUACGCAUUCAAGAGUGUAUGCUACAAAAACACACCCCUUGGAUCUAUAGGUGUCCAGUUGAGCGUUUGGCGUGCAUGUUGUGUUGCUGACCCUCCCCUCAACUUUGACUCUUGACCCCUGGAGGUAUCUGUCAUGACAGGAGGCUACUUAACACAAAAACACUGGCCGCUUCCAAGGGAGAGUAAAAAACAAGGCACAAACACACACAGUGGAUUCCUUUAUACCAGCCCUGCGCUUUUGUUUUGAGCCGAAGAACGUGUUGCCUUUUCCCCCCUCCCUUCUGCUUUCUUCCCCUCUCCUUUUUUCCUUUCUUUCUUUUCUUUCUCCAGCGCCUAGCAGUGUUCUCGUUCCGCAGCAGGUAGUGGCUGAGAGCAGCAGGAUUCUGGGAGAUUGUAAGAGAACGCCUUAAUGAGCUGAAGGCCUCCACGGCUGGAAACAAAUGUAUGCAAAUGAGAUGCACAACCCAAAAAAAAAAAGAGGAAGGAUGGUGGUCCAAGAAGAGAAGACGAACUGCAGCUGACUGAGUCUCCCCCCCUCCCCAAAUCCAGCAACCAGGAUGAGCUCUGCUAUCUCUCUCUCUUCUGCGAUCUGUGCCUGGCUUUCAUUUGCCCUCCCCGCAACAAUGAAACGCGCCAUGUAUUGGGAUCCAUUCCUCUGUCCGCCAACGUAACUGGACAAAUUGGUAACAGCGGGAAAGCCAUCAAUAUUGAGGGAAGCGUCUUCAAGAGAAAAGGCUGAGCUGCGUAGGUGAGUUUCACCGUCUGAUGAGGCGUGGGGUCUCCACAGGGUCAGACACACCAUGACACCUCCACCAUCUGCCCACCUCCCUUCCCAUCACACACACAUGCACAUCACCUCCCUAUAGCAUUGCCACAAAUACAAUCUGCACUGUACAGUGUGCGUUAAAACACUGGGAGGAACUGAGGCUGUUUUUCUUGUGAAUAUAAUCAGUGAGAUUAUUCUGGGAGUGAAGGUUGCUGCUCUGAGAGCUGCCCAGAUGCUGUCAAUAGAGUUUUGCUUUGGGCAAUGUUUGAGUUAUGAUUUGGGGAGAUUACCUGAUUGGCUAUUUCCUUUUAAAGGCUGUUCACCUUAAAGACAAAAUGCUGAUUGAGUGUUUGUAAUUGUCAAAACAGAAAUGACUGAAGAUAGGUUUGAAAAUGAUGCGUGAGUGGAUGAAUAAUCACAUUUGUGACACUGGAGCACAA